rnacentral:misc_RNA from 1 species
GAUGAAGAACGUAGCGAAAUGCGAUAACUAAUGUGAAUUGCAGAAUUCAGUGAAUCAUCGAAUCUUUGAACGCACAUUGCGCCCGCCAGCACUCUGGCGGGCAUGCCUGUUCGAGCGUCAUUUCAACCAUCAAGCCCCAGGCUUGCGUUGGAGCCCUGCGGCUGCCGCAGCCUCCUAAAAGCAGUGGCGGGCUCGCUAUCACACCGAGUGCAGUAGAUUACUCUUCGCUCAGGGCGUGCAGCGGGUUCCGGCCGUGAAACCCCCUACUUUUAAAGGUUGACCUCGGAUCAGGUAGGAAUACCCGCUGAACUUAAGCAUAUCAAUAAGCGGAGGA